CAGCCGCCACGGGAAUACGGAGGGAGCUAGCGUUGUUCGGAAUUACUGGGCGUAAAGCGCGCGUAGGCGGUUACUCAAGUCAGAGGUGAAAGCCCGGGGCUCAACCCCGGAACUGCCUUUGAAACUAGGUGACUAGAAUCUUGGAGAGGUCAGUGGAAUUCCGAGUGUAGAGGUGAAAUUCGUAGAUAUUCGGAAGAACACCAGUGGCGAAGGCGACUGACUGGACAAGUAUUGACGCUGAGGUGCGAAAGCGUGGGGAGCAAACAGGAUUAGAUACCCGGGUAGUCCCUGUCUCUUAUAC
rnacentral:rRNA from 1 species